rnacentral:tRNA from 1 species
GGGAAUGUAGCUUAGUGGUAGAGUGCUUGCCUAGCAUGCAUGAAGCCCUAGGUAAAAUUCCUCAGUACCA